GAGUUUGACCCUGGCUCAGAAUGAACGCUGACAGAAUGCUUAACACAUGCAAGUCGAUGGGGAAGGCUGAGCUUGCUUAGCUGGUAACCAUGGCGGACGGGUGAGUAACGCGUAAGGAACUUACCUGCGGGACUGGGAUAACGGAGGGAAACUUCUGACAAGACCGGAUAAAGCUACUGUGCAGCAUUGUAUGGUAAUGAAAGGAGACGCCUGCGGAGAGCCUUGCGUCCUAUUAGCUAGUUGGGGGGGUAACGGCCCACCAAGGCGAAGAUAGGUAGCCGGCCUGAGAGGGUGGACGGCCACAAGGGGACUGAGAUACGGCCCUUACUCCUACGGGAGGCAGCAGUGGGGAAUAUUGGACAAUGGGGGCAACCCUGAUCCAGCAAUUCUGUGUGCACGAAGACGGUUUUCGGAUUGUAAAGUGCUUUCAGCAGGGAAGAAGUAAGUGACGGUACCUGCAGAAGAAGCGACGGCUAAAUACGUGCCAGCAGCCGCGGUAAUACGUAUGUCGCGAGCGUUAUCCGGAAUUAUUGGGCAUAAAGGGCAUCUAGGCGGCCUGACAAGUCAGGGGUGAAAACCUGCGGCUCAACCGCAGGCCUGCCUUUGAAACUGACAGGCUGGAGUACCGGAGAGGUGGACGGAACUGCACGAGUAGAGGUGAAAUUCGUAGAUAUGUGCAGGAAUGCCGAUGAUGAAGAUAGUUCACUGGACGGUAACUGACACUGAAGUGCGAAAGCCGGGGGAGCGAACAGGAUUAGAUACCCUGGUAGUCCCGGCCGUAAACGAUGAUUACUGGGUGUGGGCAGGAAGACUGUCUGUGCCGAAGCGAAUGCGAUAAGUAAUCCGCCUGGGGAGUACGGCCGCAAGGCUGAAACUCAAAGGAUUU
rnacentral:rRNA from 1 species